CGACGUGAGUAACCUGCCUUGGAGUGGGGAAUAACAGUUGGAAACAGCUGCUAAUACCGCAUAGUAUGUCUGUGUCGCAUGGCACUGGGCAUCAAAGAUUUAUCGCUCUGAGAUGGACUCGCGUCUGAUUAGCUAGUUGGCGGGGUAACGGCCCACCAAGGCGACGAUCAGUAGCCGGACUGAGAGGUUGACCGGCCACAUUGGGACUGAGACACGGCCCAAACUCCUACGGGAGGCAGCAG
rnacentral:rRNA from 1 species